UUGUAUGUUUAGUUUCACUUCCGCGUUUCGGAUAGGACAUGGGAUAAUAACGAUAAUCUGCGUAGUGAAAGUAUAUGAUAAACCGUGCAACUAUGUGGAUUUCGCACGUUUGCGUUUGACAGUAUCUGUAACCGAUGAUGCUUCCUGAGUUUUCUUCCCGCGUCUGAUUUUUUUUUUCUUCAUUUACACCGUUGCAUCGCUCGUGAUUUUCUGAUAAGCGAGGUGACUAUCCUAGCUUUCAAUUAAGAUUAGUAAGGCGUAAUUAGAGGAACCAGUUAGCUGUAGCCACAGUAGUAAAGAAUAUUUAUCCUGAUUAUAUUCGAUCUGUUUGGUCUCCUUAACGGUGCUGGACAACGCCGAGAAUACCAUGUAUAUAUUCCACAAAAUGCCAGUGCUGUCUUUAGUUGUUCUGUUGGUCCUCGUCAUUGAGGAUGGGGAAGCUGGCAACAACACAAGCAACUGUAAGCUGGGCUCAGUAUCGAAGAAUUCACAGGCUGAGAAAGAAGCUCUGAGCAGAUUGGAGCCCCUCACAAAUAGGAACUUCACUGUGAACACCGGUGGAGAUGAAGCCUACUCCUACCAGUUUCGUGUGUGUGGUGAUGCUGGGGCAAUCCCCGGAGGAGGAGUCGUGCAAAAAGACAAAGCGGGAAAGGAAACUGUUAUAGGGAAGUACACCGUCACAGAGGCUACUGGUGGCAGUAAGUACAGCUGUUUUAUCUGAUCUUCCUCCAACAUUUUGGGAACAUUGGGCCUCAUUCACCAAUAUUUUCUUAAGAAUUCUUUUAAAUUUGUUACUACGAAAUUUAAGAACAACCUACGUCGGAUUCAUGACGUGUUCUUAAGUAGCAGAAUUGUUCGCACGUUUGUUCUUAAGAAUGAAUAAUCCCACGUCUUCGUAACUGAAAGCGCGUUACAGUUUGUCCUAAUUAGCAUAGGGAAACGCCCUGUAAUUUCCCAUAAAAGGGCAUGAGACUGCAGGGCCAUGUGCAAGGAAUGGUGAAGAGACGCGCAGGCUGUGAGCCGCUUCGCACUAAGAGGAAAAAAAACUUCAGUAAUGCUUAAGUAGAAGUAUUAAUAGUAAAAUCCCAUUAUAGUGGACUUGCU